GGAGAUAUGGUUCAGUGGUUAAGAACACAGAUUGCUCUUCCGAAGGUCCUGAGUUCAAAUCCCAGCAACCACA
rnacentral:tRNA from 1 species